rnacentral:rRNA from 1 species
GCUGUGGAACUCCUACGGGAGGCAGCAGUGGGGAAUUUUGGACAAUGGGGGCAACCCUGAUCUAGCAAUGCCGCGUGAGUGAAGAAGGCCUUCGGGUUGCAAAGCUCUUUUGUCAGGGAAGAAACGGUAGUAGCUAAUAUCUAUUACUAAUGACGGUACCUGAAGAGUAAGCACCGGCUAACUACGUGCCAGCAGCCGCGGUAAUACGUAGGGUGCAAGCGUUAAUCGGAAUUACUGGGCGUAAAGCGUGCGCAGGCGGUUGCGUAAGUCAGGUGUGAAAUCCCCGGGCUCAACCUGGGAAUUGCAUUUGAGACUGCACGGCUAGAGUGUGUCAGAGGGGGGUAGAAUUCCACGUGUAGCAGUGAAAUGCGUAGAUAUGUGGAGGAAUACCGAUGGCGAAGGCAGCCCCCUGGGAUAACACUGACGCUCAUGCACGAAAGCGUGGGGAGCAAACAGGAUUAGAUACCCGAGUAGUCCUACCACGU